ACCGCUUCCUGGGAGGAGUAAAGGGGGGGGGGGGAGGCGGAGGAGGCGUGGUUUCUGCCUGGGGAGAGGCCGCGCUUCCUGACCCGGUCCCUCUGCACCACCGUGGGUGGGGGAGGGGCGUGCACCCUUUCCGCCCGGGCUUUUGCUGGCUAAUCCGGCUGGAUCUGAAGAGCUGUGCCUGAACCCUGCCGUGCUUAUCAUAGGGACAAGGGGGCUUUAUUUUUGUGUGUCCAAUUCAUGCGCUGCAGCAAAAUGGCCCUUCAAUCGCAUCUGGGGGUUUCUCCACAGGGUGCAAAUGCUCUAGCGCUGAAAAAAAUCCAGAGAAAAGAAAGAGCGACGCCCUCCCGCCCCCAUUAAUUAUUUGUGGGGCUGGAGUAACGCGGGCUGGUGCAACCGGUGCAUAUAAGGACUUGUGUGCUGGGAAGGGGAUCCGCCUCCAGCCACGGAACGAAUGGGGGAGAAGCGCACUGGCACAGCGCGCCCAGCCCCGCGCUUUAGCAAUUUGCAGCGGCCGCUGGGUCGGGUCCGCCAGCUGCCCCCGGGAUUCCGGAUGGCGGGUCUUGGGGGACGGUCACUCGCCGCUUCGGAGCCGGGAAGGUUUGCCAGAAGCGGGAGAGCUGGGAGAUCGGAGCUCCCUUUUGGCAUCGCCACACCCAGGACCUGCCGGUGCCGCAAUUCCCCACGGAAACGACCGAAUAGAAACGAGAAGCUUGUUCUCUGGGUGCAAUGCUUCAGGUAACUCCAAAGGCGACACUGGGUAUGGCAACACCUCAUAGACCUGCCGCCUCAGGACCCUGCGUUUCGCUUUCAGGCAGCGUUUCCGCGGCUGACCUACCCAGACUGAUGGAGAAAGUUUGGCUGGGGGAAAAAGAUGUAACAUACAAGAUGUACGGCGUGAGAGCGAUUUUGCUCCACCCGCUUUCUCAUUUAAAGGCUGAACGUCUACAGUGGUAAACACGACAUUCUGUAAUCAAGAGUGUGAAGUCAUUUCCCCAAACUCCCGGCACAGCCCGCCUCUCCAGCCCUGGUGACCACGCGAAAUAUGCGGGAAGAAACGCUCAAAUUGAACUCUUCCCCAAAUACAGCAGUAGCUUUGAAAGCAUUAUCUGCACCUCUGUUAAGAUGAGCAUACUUCUGGCCAAGGGCAUUGAGGAAUUUUAAUCGUGUAGUGUGAAUAUCAGCUUCAGAAUAAGGCUUUUGAAUGAAUGAAUGGAAGCCACUGCAGCAAGUUCAUCACAACUGCAGACAUUAGGAGACUUUCACCCAGCAUUCGGUAUACGCUGUGCUGUUUCUAUUAUUGUAUCUAUUUAUGUGCAUUGUGGAUCAUGAAACUUGAAAUUGUUCCAACAUCUUAACGGCCACAACAGUUGUUUAGGCGUUUUUGCCGUUAAAACGUCAAACGUUUAAACGUGUUAUAUUCAAAACGCUCGAUUUCAUCUCUCAUGUUUUUACUAAAAUCAUCCAGCUCGAGGUAGUAAGGAACAUGCAGUAAGACACCAAGUAAUGUCGAAAUGACGUUACAAACUAUCAUUUCCUGUCAUCGUCCUUGUUUUACCCUUCUCUGUCCCUUUUUUACCCUCAAUCUAGAUGACAAAUUAAUGUAUUGUCUCAAUGUUGAAAGAAAAUAAUUUAAGAUCAAAUAUUGAGAUCUAUGAACAGAACUAUUUUUAAAACUCCAAACAUAAGAAAAAUGAGAUAAAGAUUUUUUUCUCCAUUUUAUACUCCAGAUUUUAUUUGAAACAUCACAAAAGGAUCGUUUAUUUUGGCGCUAGUGAGUGGUUCAGGCCUUGACGAUACCGUUGACAGUGGCACUAAAUUCAACCCUUAGAUUUAGAAUUAGAUUAGAAAGCUCUGUGUUCAGUACUGUAAUGGGUACUAAGUGGUAGAGGGCUUCCUAGGACCCGGAGAGGAUGACGAGAGAGGCAGUGGAGGCAGGGAUGAGGCUACAGGAAAUACCAUAAAAGGAGAGAUUACAACAGCCGAGGCACCUCCAGCUGAUUACUGGGGCUAUUACUCAGAUCUUCAGCCCAUUGGUGGCCAAAGGGCGAGUAGGUGUCUGAAAUCAGAACAUUAAAAGACCCCUUCACAGAAACCUGGAACUUAAGAAGAAUGGUAAUAAGACUGAAAAUGGAAUGUCCUCACCUGGUCUGCCUGAUAUGCUGCUGUUUACCUUCUUAGGCCCGGUUGUCACCUCCUCUGGGAAAUCUGUACUGAACUCUCCCCCUGUCCCGCCCCUCCAGAAAUAGAGCUGAUCGCUCCCCAUCUCUGUGUCUUGUAAUGUUGUUGUUGUGUACUGUUGUAAUUUAUUUUGUUUACAUGUCUGGGGUCAAACCUUUGUUAAUUCAAGGCCUAGGCAUUAAUUUUAUCUGCAUAUCUAGUUAGUCCUUAGGCAAAAUCUUUUCACUUAGGAGACACUCAAAUGUUUUUUGAACGCAUGAACAAAUAAAUGAAUUAAGGAAUGAGUAAAGACUGCCAUUACAGUUAUCUCCUCCAACCCCAAAGGAUAAUUAUUCAUG